rnacentral:rRNA from 1 species
CUGGGUUUGACAUACACCGGAAAGCUGCAGAGAUGUAGCCCCUUUUAGUCGGUGUACAGGUGGUGCAUGGCUGUCGUCAGCUCGUGUCGUGAGAUGUUGGGUUAAGUCCCGCAACGAGCGCAACCCUCGUCCUAUGUUGCCAGCACGUCAUGGUGGGGACUCAUAGGAGACUGCCGGGGUCAACUCGGAGGAAGGUGGGGAUGACGUCAAGUCAUCAUGCCCCUUAUGUCCAGGGCUUCACGCAUGCUACAAUGGCCGGUACAAAGGGCUGCGAUGCUGUAAGGCGGAGCGAAUCCCAAAAAGCCGGUCUCAGUUCGGAUUGGGGUCUGCAACUCGACCCCAUGAAGUCGGAGUCGCUAGUAAUCGCAGAUCAGCAACGCUGCGGUGAAUACGUUCCC